rnacentral:rRNA from 1 species
GACGAACGCUGGCGGCGUGCCUAAUACAUGCAAGUCGAACGCAGUGGGGACGGGUGAGUAACACGUGGGUAACCUCCCAUCAGAGGGGAUAACACUUGGAAACAGGUGCUAAACCGAUACUGAUGGAUGGACCCGCGGUGCAUUAGCUAGUUGGUGAGGUAACGGUUCACCAAGGCCACGAUGCAUAGCCGACCUGAGAGGUUGAUCGGGCAGCCGUGGACGGAUACACGGCCCAGACUCCUACGGGAGGCAGGAGUAGGGAAUCGUCGGCAAUGGUCGAAAGUCUGACCGAGCAACGCCGCGUGAGUGAAGAAGGUGUUCGGAUCGUAAAACUCUGUUGUUAGAGAAACGGUAUCUAACCAGAAAGCCUCGGCUAACUACGUGCCUGCAGCCGCGGUAAUAC